UUGUUUGGGUUACGGGCUUACAUUCCAACACGCUCUCACCGUGGUGUUGAUGUGCCCUUGUAUCUUUCGUUUUCCGCUGCUAAACAGUUGUUUUAUUUCCAGCUAACCCGUGAGGUUAUGCGAGUUGUAAGUACCUUUAAAUUCUGGAUGAUUCGUUGUAAUAUUGAGACCUUUGUUCUAUGAUAUUACAUCUUGAAACUGUGUGUGCUAGUGAGUCGAUCCAGGGACUAGCACUAAAGCACAGAGAUCGAA
rnacentral:lncRNA from 1 species